rnacentral:rRNA from 1 species
AUUGAACGCUGGCGGCAGGCUUAACACAUGCAAGUCGAGCGGAGAGAGGUAGCUUGCUACUGAUCUUAGCGGCGGACGGGUGAGUAAUGCUUAGGAAUCUGCCUAUUAGUGGGGGACAACAUUCCGAAAGGGAUGCUAAUACCGCAUACGUCCUACGGGAGAAAGCAGGGGAUCACUUGUGACCUUGCGCUAAUAGAUGAGCCUAAGUCGGAUUAGCUAGUUGGUGGGGUAAAGGCCUACCAAGGCGACGAUCUGUAGCGGGUCUGAGAGGAUGAUCCGCCACACUGGGACUGAGACACGGCCCAGACUCCUACGGGAGGCAGCAGUGGGGAAUAUUGGACAAUGGGGGGAACCCUGAUCCAGCCAUGCCGCGUGUGUGAAGAAGGCCUUUUGGUUGUAAAGCACUUUAAGCGAGGAGGAGGCUUACCUGGUUAAUACCUGGGCUAAGUGGACGUUACUCGCAGAAUAAGCACCGGCUAACUCUGUGCCAGCCGCCGCCGUAAUAC